rnacentral:rRNA from 1 species
CGGCAUGCCUUACACAUGCAAGUCGAACGGCAGCACGGGAGCAAUCCUGGUGGCGAGUGGCGAACGGGUGAGUAAUAUAUCGGAACGUGCCCAGUCGUGGGGAUAACGUAGCGAAAGCUACGCUAAUACCGCAUACGAUCUAUGGAUGAAAGCGGGGGAUCGCAAGACCUCGCGCGAUUGGAGCGGCCGAUAUCAGAUUAGGUAGUUGGUGAGGUAAAGGCUCACCAAGCCGACGAUCUGUAGCUGGUCUGAGAGGACGACCAGCCACACUGGGACUGAGACACGGCCCAGACUCCUACGGGAGGCAGCAGUGGGGAAUUUGGACAAUGGGCGCAAGCCUGAUCCAGCAAUGCCGCGUGCAGGAUGAAGGCCUUCGGGUUGUAAACUGUCUUUUGUACGGAACGAAACGGUGAGCUCUAAUACAGUUUGCUAAUGACGGUACCGUAAGAAUAAGCACCGGCUAACUACGUG